rnacentral:pre_miRNA from 1 species
UUUCUACUCCCUCCGUCCAAAAAUAAUUGUCAUCAAAAUGGAUAAAAAGAGAUGUAUCUAAAACUAAAAUUUGUCUAGAUACAUUUCCUUUUAUCCAUUUUGAUGACAAGUAUUUCUGGACGGAGGGAGUAUUUG